rnacentral:rRNA from 1 species
UACGUAGGGUGCGAGCGUUGUCCGGAAUUAUUGGGCGUAAAGAGCUCGUAGGCGGUUUGUCACGUCGGAUGUGAAACCCCGGGGCUUAACUCCGGGCCUGCAUUCGAUACGGGCUGACUAGAGUUCGACAGGGGAGACUGGAAUUCCUGGUGUAGCGGUGAAAAUGCGCAGAUAUCAGGAGGAACACCGGUGGCGAAGGCGGGUCUCUGGGGCCGAUACUGACGCUGAGGAGCGAAAAGCGUGGGAGCGAACGGG